ACUCAAAUGAAUAGACGGGGACCCGCACAAGCAGUGGAGCAUGUGGUUUAAUUCGAUGCUACGCGAAAAACCUUACCAGCUCUUGAAUCCUGGUCGCGAUUUUCAGAGAUGAAUUUCUUCAGUUCGGCUGGACCAGUGACAGGUGUUGCAUGGCUGUCGUCAGCUCGUGUCGUGAGAUGUUAGGUUAAGUCCUUCAACGAGCGCAACCCUCAUCCUUAUUUGCCAUCGGGUUAUGCCGGGAACUAUAAGGAAACUGCCAACGACAAGUUGGAGGAAGGUGGGGAUGAUGUCAAGUCAUCAUGGCCCUUAUGGGCUGGGCUACACACAUGCUACAAUGGUGAUUACAACGGGUAUGCAAAACAGCAAUGUCGAGCUAAUCCUUCAAAAGUCAUCUCAGUUCAGAUUGGGGGCUGCAACUCGCCCCCAUGAAGUUGGAAUUGCUAGUAAUCGCGGAUCAGCACGCCGCGGUGAAUACGUUCUCGGGUCUUGUACACACCGCCCGU
rnacentral:rRNA from 1 species